rnacentral:rRNA from 1 species
UACGAAGGGGGCUAGCGUUGUUCGGAAUUACUGGGCGUAAAGCGCACGUAGGCGGAUACUUAAGUCAGGGGUGAAAUCCCGGGGCUCAACCCCGGAACUGCCUUUGAUACUGGGUAUCUCGAGUCCGGAAGAGGUGAGUGGAAUUCCGAGUGUAGAGGUGAAAUUCGUAGAUAUCGUAAGGAAGACCAGUGGCGAAGGCGGGUCUCUGGGCCUGUCCUGACGCUGAGACGCGAAAGCGUGGGGAGCGAACCGG